AUUGAACGCUGGCGGCAGGCCUAACACAUGCAAGUCGAACGAGUGGCGGACGGGUGAGUCAUGUCUGGGAAACUGCCUGAUGUAGGGGGAUAACUACUGGAAACGGUAGCUAAUACCGCAUACCAUCAGAUGUGCCCAGAGGGGAGUAGCUAGUAGGGGGGGUAACGGCUAACCUAGGCGACGAUCCCUAGCUGGUCUGAGAGGAUGACCAGCCACACUGGAACUGAGACACGGGCCAGACUCCUACGGGAGGCAGCAGUGGGGAAUAUUGCACAAUGGGCGCAAGCCUGAUGCAGACAUGCCGCGUGUGGGAAGAAGGCCUUCGGGUUGUAAAGCACUUUCAGCGGGGAGGCGUUACCCGCAGAAGAAGCACCGGCUAACUCCGUGCCAGCAGCCGCGGUAAUAC
rnacentral:rRNA from 1 species